rnacentral:lncRNA from 1 species
GUACAGUGAAACGCAGAUCAGUCAAAAAAAUUUACCCGCAACGAGCAUUUUCCUUUCGAUAAUCUCUAAGUUAUAGCCAACUCCAUUAUAGUUAUAGCCAUUGCUUGAUUUCGCGAGGCGGUAGUUAGGUGUCUAUAUGAAUGCGCAGAGGUACCAAUACAGUGUUGAAACAAAUGCAGUCGGAGAAAGAUAAGACAAAUAGAAGCUAAUCCAGCUUCAUAUAACCUUAUCAUAGGACAACGGCGCUGCAUUAGGGUUUCUCUCGUGCCGCCGGGCACUAGUUAUACGUCUGUUUCGUUCACGCACAUGAUCAAAGUCGCAAACAAAGGAUAUGUACAUAUACAUAUAAGCUGAUGCACAAAAACGUCGGGGAUUCGUUGUGGAUGUUUUAAAGUAGUCUGAAUCGCUCCUAAUUCUUCUCGUUUGUGUGCGUUGAACGGGAGCUUCAAUGCAGCAGCUUUCGGUACGCAUUGAGGAUAUAUGAGAUCAUGAGGACUUAUAGUAUCCUCAUCGGCUAGAACUGUCUUCCUGCCUAGCUCGAAAAUAUACGCCGACCGAUGCCGAAAAUGAACGACCGAAUGAUGUGGUCCACACUUCUUCAUAUACGAGAGGAACACCUGCCUGUUUCACGUAAGCCGAGUAUUGAGGUCGACCUUGGCAACCGGUUUCCACUAGCCGAGAUCACUAGCCGAUAUUUGUCAUCCACUCUCGUACCCUUCACCCCGAACCCCUGAACGGUUAUUUAUAAAUACUUUUCUUGUUGCAAUAAAAAUAACUUGGACUUGAUUU